CCCAGACUCCUACGGGAGGCAGCAGUGGGGGAUAUUGCACAAUAGGGGGAACCCUGAUGCAGCGACGCCGCGUGGGUGAAGAAGCGCCUCGGCGCGUAAAGCCCUGUCAGCAGGGAAGAAAAUGACGGUACCUGAAGAAGAAGCCCCGGCUAACUACGUGCCAGCAGCCGCGGUAAUACGUAGGGGGCAAGCGUUAUCCGGAUUUACUGGGUGUAAAGGGGGCGCAGACGGCGAUGCAAGCCAGGAGUGAAAGGGCGGGGGGCAACCCCGGGACUGCUCUUGGGACUGCGUGGCUGGAGUGCAGGAGGGGCAGGCGGAAUUCCUGGUGUAGCGGUGAAAUGCGUAGAUAUCAGGAGGAGCACCGGUGGCGAAGGCGG
rnacentral:rRNA from 1 species